UAUUCAGCCACAGUCUGAUUAUGAGUCAAAGGCUUCUACAAAAUCAGGAACAAGAGGAUAGAAGAAAAAUAGUCAGCCACAAUCCGAUUAUGAGUCAGAACCUUCUGCAGAAAUGGGAACAAGAGGACGAAAGAAGAAGCCUGUAAAUCUUCAGCCACAGUCCAAUUAUGAGUCAGAGCCUUCUACUAGAAGAGGAACAAGAGGAUGAAAGAAGAAGCAUGUAGAUAUUGAGCCAUAGUCAGAUGAGGAGUCAGAGCCUUCUACUAAAACAAGAACAAGAGGACGGAAGAAGUAGCCUGUAGAUAUUAAGCCACAAUCCAAUUAUGAGUCAGAGCCUUCUACAAAAACAGGAACAAGAGUACGGAGGAAGACCUUCAGAUAUUCAGCCACAGUCCAAUUAUGAAUGAAUCAGAAGUGUAUAGAAAAGCAAGAGAUUGUGAAUCAAUAAAUCAGAGUAUAGGAGGGAAGAAAGGUAGCUCUAGAUCUGCAUGUAGUUUACUUAAAGACAAAGAAGAUGCAUGCUAGUAUAAAUUAUUAAGCAGGAGUUCAUUGAUAUUAUCAAAAUUUUUGGCAUUGCAAUGAGUG